rnacentral:rRNA from 1 species
UGGUGGGUUGCCUUGUCAGGUUGAUUCCGGUAACGAACGAGACCUCAGCCUGCUAAAUAGUGACAUUUGCUUCGGCAGGUGGCACACUUCUUAGAGGGACUGUUGGCGUCUAGCCAAUGGAAGUAUGAGGCAAUAACA